rnacentral:sRNA from 1 species
AUGUGCCACGUUCGUACACGCCGGUUCCAAGCGCGCCGUCCGCAGCCACCUGGCAGCGGCCGCUGCGUGUCAGCC